rnacentral:lncRNA from 1 species
CCUAUCUCCUAUAUGCACAAGUCUUAGUUUCUAUAUCAACAACAAAUUUCCCACUAGAACAUUGAACACAAGAUUGUGCUCCUCCAAACCAAUCCACCUCGUAGCCCUAGGCUAACUCAACAAUUUUCAUAAGCUUUUGUUGCACUUUAGGACAUAAACGCCCUAUUACUGUUUUCAUCUUGUCUCUCCUUGCCCAUACCCUCUUCAUGAAACUUAUAUGCAAAUCAAUCGACGUUGUCAAUAUGGAUUUCUCCCUUUCUUCCAACAAAACAUUGUUGAAUACUUAACAUAAAUUGUUUAAAAGUAUGUCAUUAUUUACCUUUGUUAAAAAAAUAAGCAUAGCUCCAUUUACUUGGAUGCCUUUUCUUUAACCAAUUAAACGCUGCAAGACUUUCCUUCACAAUCUCAUCCAUCCAAAACAACCAAUCAGGCACUGUUGUCGACUUUGCAGCCUUCCAUAAGUAUUCCUUUAAUACUAAACUCUAAAAAAAUAGUUUUGAAGAAAUUAGUGUAGAUGUGUCUAACACAAAAACGAUGUUCCGAGGGGUAUAGAUCAUCUAUCACAUUCUAUAAAUCCUUUUGCCUAUUUGUCGUAAUGGUCCAUUCAUUGCUAUUCAUAAUCUUCAAAUCUUCACCUAAAUGUUGCAUUAAACUACCUCCAAGUAAUAGCGUUCUCUCUUUCCACUACAGCAUAUGCUACUAGAUGAAUACAGUCAUUAACACCUAACCCCACUGCCACAAGCAUCUGCCCUACAAAUGACCAUUUCAAGAAGCAACCAUCAAACCCUAGAAGUUGCUUGGAACCCACUAAAAAGGAUCCAUUGCAAGCGUUUAAGCAAAUGUAAACACCUUGAAACUUUGAAGCAUGCAUAGCAACAAUACAUGAAGACGAGAUUGGUUCUCAAAAUUUCAGUAGCAAAAGACAUAAGCAAUCCAAACUGGUGCUCGUCAAAUCCUUGUAUCAUUACCCUUGCAUAUCUUUUAGUUCCUCAUAUGCCAUAACCAUAUUAAUAGUCAAUUUCAAAUCAUCCUUUACAACCUUUAUAAUAAGCUUAGACUUUCGAUCAGGGUCAACUUUGAAGGUAUAUAAAUAUCUCUAUGCUAUGUAUUUGACAGUGCAAUGUCUAUUUGUUUUGUCCCUAACACAUAUAUGCUCAGAGUUUUUAGAUUUUAAUUGCACGCAUCCUUUAUUCUUAUUCUAUGAGGUCCAAAUCCUUUGUGUACAACCUAAUUUACAUAUGGCUUGAGUUCUAAACUCAUCAUUAGGCCUAAAUUUAAAAUUGCAUCUAGUAGCUAAGCCAUGAUUCCUUACAGUUUGCCUAAACUCCUCAAUACUUUUGAACUAUUUUCCCAUCUCUAAUUGUGGAUUGAACUUCUCAUUCUCGACAUCAUAAACAAAGAAAUGGAAAGUAUUUUCUUCACUAGAAGAAUAGUUGGUGUGCUACUCCUCCUUACUUGGACAAUAAGCAUCUUUCGAUUCUGAUUCUUCGUCCCCAACAGUGAAAAGAUNGAUGCUAUGAUCUGCAUUUAAUCCAACCAAAAUCCAUUCAUUUCCAUUCUUAUCAUAAUGAAAAUAAUCACCAUUAACAUCGUCUUUUGAAUCAAUUAAUUUGUAUUCCUCUGAUAACACUUUAUCUCCUUCAAAUAUAUUAUCUGCAAAUAAAUGUGUAAAUGAAAUGGUCAACACAUGUUAUAUGUCCACACAAAAUGCAGACAUUCAUGAAGCUAC